UGAUUAUAUAUAUGAACUUUGCAAUUUAAUAUUGCUCAAGAAAUGGAGGUUUUUUUUUUAUUGCAAUUUAGUAUCACAGCAAGAUGUCUAAGAACUGGUUUGAAUUUAGUUCUAGGAACUGAAGAUUGCUGAGAAAUCAACUAUGAUCUCUUAAGGCAAAAAUAAGAACUAGCAAUCUGGGACACCCUGAAAGAAUUUCCUAAUUUUUUAAAUUUUAACUGAAUGAUUAAUGGUUUUUUUUCCCUCAAAAAUCAAUAUAUAUUAUAUUUAUGGGAUCUAGAAUUUCAGCUUAUUCAGUUGAAAUUCUGCUAGAAUUUCUGCAUAUAUAUGUUAACCUUACUUCACUUCAAUGCCUUGA
rnacentral:misc_RNA from 1 species